GGCCUUGCGCUCUUUGAGCGGCCGAUAUCAGAUUAGCUAGUUGGUGAGGUAAAGGCUCACCAAGGCGACGAUCUGUAGCGGGUCUGAGAGGAUGAUCCGCCACACUGGAACUGAGACACGGUCCAGACUCCUACGGGAGGCAGCAGUGGGGAAUUUUGGACAAUGGGGGCAACCCUGAUCCAGCCAUGCCGCGUGAGUGAAGAAGGCCUUCGGGUUGUAAAGCUCUUUCGGCCGGGAAGAAAUCGCAUGGGCUAAUACCCUGUGCGGAUGACGGUACCGGCAUAAGAAGCACCGGCUAACUACGUGCCAGCAGCCGCGGUAAUACGUAGGGUGCGAGCGUUAAUCGGAAUUACUGGGCGUAAAGCGUGCGCAGGCGGUUUUGUAAGACAGGCGUGAAAUCCCCGGGCUCAACCUGGGAACUGCGUUUGUGACUGCAAGGCUAGAGUACGGCAGAGGGGGGUGGAAUUCCACGUGUAGCAGUGAAAUGCGUAGAGAUGUGGAGGAACACCAAUGGCGAAGGCAGCCCCCUGGGUCGAUACUGACGCUCAUGCACGAAAGCGUGGGUAGCAAACAGGAUUAGAUACCCUGGUAGUCCACGCCCUAAACGAUGUCAACUAGGUGUUGGGUGGGUAAAACCAUUUAGUACCGGAGCUAACGCGUGAAGUUGACCGCCUGGGGAGUACGGCCGCAAGGUUAAAACUCAAAGGAAUUGACGGGGACCCGCACAAGCGGUGGAUGAUGUGGAUUAAUUCGAUGCAACGCGAAAAACCUUACCUACCCUUGACAUGUCCAGAAGCCUGAAGAGAUUUGGGUGUGCCCGAAAGGGAACUGGAACACAGGUGCUGCAUGGCUGUCGUCAGCUCGUGUCGUGAGAUGUUGGGUUAAGUCCCGCAACGAGCGCAACCCUUGUCGUUAAUUGCCAUCAUUCAGUUGGGCACUUUAACGAGACUGCCGGUGACAAACCGGAGGAAGGUGGGGAUGACGUCAAGUCCUCAUGGCCCUUAUGGGUAGGGCUUCACACGUCAUACAAUGGUCGGUACAAAGGGUUGCCAAGCCGCGAGGUGGAGCCAAUCCCAGAAAGCCGAUCGUAGUCCGGAUCGUAGGCUGCAACUCGCCUGCGUGAAGUCGGAAUCGCUAGUAAUCGUGGAUCAGCAUGUCACGGUGAAUACGUUCCCGGGUCUUGUACACACCGCCCGUCACACCAUGGGAGCGGGUUCCGCCAGAAG
rnacentral:rRNA from 1 species